rnacentral:lncRNA from 1 species
CCUCAAAGAUCUCGUCUCGUGAGACCUCUAUGCGACAGUGUCCAGCCUGUGGUUGCUGCAGCGACAGCUCGUGUCUGAGCAGCUUCAGUUUGUGGACCAGGUCUCUCUCGUAGCGCAGAGUCACUUCCUCUUCUCCUCCUCCUCCUCCUCCUCCUUCCUCCUCCUCCCCCACCUCCAUCUCUCUCCCUCCUCCCCCACCCAGCGGCUGAGACGCUUCCUUCACCUGGGAAUGUUGGCUGGAGACACACAGAAAGGUCUGAUGUGUUUUAUUUUACAUAUCUUUCAUACUGAAUGUUAUCAGAUAUUCAACCAAAACCUGAUAUUAGAUAAAGGGGGAAACCUGAGUAAUAUAAUUAUUUUAUUUAUUUAAUUAACUUUCUGCAAUUUUAUUUAUUUAAUUAAGUUAUGUAACACCAAAUUCCCAUUUUUAAAAAAGUAUUUCCCCGUUACACUCAAUAACUGGAUGAGUUAAAAUAAUGUUCUAUGGACAGGUGAGAUAAAGGUAUGUUCUAUGGACAGGUGAGAUAAAAGAAUGUUCUAUGGACAGGUGAGUUAAAGGUAUGUACUAUAGACAGGUGAGUUAAAAUAAUGUUCUAUAGACAGGUGAGUUAAAGGUAUGUUCUAUAGACAGGUGAGAUAAAGGUAUGUUCUAUAGACAGGUGAGUUAAAGGUAUGUUCUAUAGACAGGUGAGUUAAAGGUAUGUUCUAUAGACAGGUGAGAUAAAGGUAUGUUCUAUAGACAGGUGAGAUAAAGGUAUGUUCUAUAGACAGGUGAGAUAAAGGUAUGUUCUAUGGACAGGUGAGAUAAAAUAAUGUUCUAUAGACAGGUGAGUUAAAGGUAUGUACUAUAGACAGGUGAGUUAAAGGUAUGUUCUAUAGACAGGUGAGAUAAAGGUAUGUUCUAUAGACAGGUGAGAUAAAGGAAUGUUCUAUGGACAGGUGAGUUAAAGGUAUGUACUAUGGACAGGUGAGUUAAAGGUAUGUACUAUAGACAGGUGAGUUAAAGGUAUGUUCUAUAGACAGGUGAGAUAAAGGUAUGUUCUAUAGACAGGUGAGAUAAAGGUAUGUUCUAUAGACAGGUGAGAUAAAGGAAUGUUCUAUAGACAGGUGAGUUAAAAUAAUGUUCUAUAGACAGGUGAGAUAAAGGUAUGUACUAUAGACAGGUGAGAUAAAGGAAUGUUCUAUGGACAGGUGAGAUAAAACAAUGUUCUAUGGACAGGUGAGAUAAAGGAAUGUUCUAUGGACAGGUGAGUUAAAGGUAUGUACUAUGGACAGGUGAGUUAAAGGUAUGUUCUAUAGACAGGUGAGUUAAAGGUAUGUACUAUAGACAGGUGAGAUAAAGGUAUGUUCUAUAGACAGGUGAGAUAAAGGAAUGUUCUAUAGACAGGUGAGUUAAAAUAAUGUUCUAUAGACAGGUGAGUUAAAAUAAUGUUCUAUGGACAGGUGAGAUAAAGGAAUGUUCUAUGGACAGGUUAGAUAAAACAAUGUUCUAUGGACAGGUGAGAUAAAGGAAUGUUCUAUGGACAGGUAAGAUAAAACAAUGUUCUAUGGACAGGUAGGAUAAAGGUAUGUUCUAUGGACAGGUGAGUUAAAAUAAUGUUCUAUGGACAGGGGGGAUAAAGGAAUGUUCUAUAGACAGGUGAGAUAAAAGAAUGUUCUAUGGACAGGUGAGUUAAAAGAAUGUUCUAUGGACAGGUGAGUUAAAAGAAUGUUCUACGGACAGGUGAGUUUAAAGAAUGUUCUACGGACAGGAGAGUUAAAGGUAUGUUCUAUAGACAGGUGAGAUAAAGGUAUGUUCUAUAGACAGGUGAGAUAAAGGUAUGUACUAUGGACAGGUGAGUUAAAGGAAUGUUCUAUGGACAGGUGAGUUAAAGGUAUGUUCUAUAGACAGGUGAGAUAAAGGUAUGUUCUAUAGACAGGUGAGAUAAAGGUAUGUUCUAUAGACAGGUGAGAUAAAGGAAUGUUCUAUAGACAGGUGAGAUAAAGGUAAAACCCUUUGGACAACAUGAAUCCCAAAAAGCAACACAUUUGAAGUUCUGGAACGGCCGAAUCCAAGUCCAAACCAAAUCCCAACGAGAUGUUUGUGGGAGGAUCUGGGCCAAAAUUCCUCCACAUCGAGGCGAGAUGACAACUACAGGAAGUGUUUGGUUGGAGUCAUGGCAACUAAAGGGAACCAGUUAUUGAGCGGAAGGUGGAAAUCACUUUUCACACGAGGGGCAUAACUACGUUUAUGAAAUAACUGAAAUAAGUGCAAUAAGUGCAAUAAGUGCAAUAAGUGCAAUAAGUGUAAUAAGUGCAAUAAGUGCAAUAAGUGUAAUAAGUGUGCACCUGAUGAUGGUGUGAAGCCGAGGGUCAGUGAACUGCGUUGUUCGGUUGUUGUGAUCCACAAAGUAGAUCCUUCCAGAUACCGUACUCCUCACCUCCCAUCCGGCCGGCAGAGGACCCAACUCCUCACAGCUCACACU